rnacentral:tRNA from 1 species
GCGCUGUUAGCUCAGUUGGAUAGAGUGUCUGACUACGAAUCAGAAGGUCGGGGGUUCGAAUCCCUCACAGCGCACCA